rnacentral:rRNA from 1 species
AACGAACGCUGGCGGCAGGCUUAACACAUGCAAGUCGAACGCACCUUUCGGGGUGAGUGGCAGACGGGUGAGUAACGCGUGGGAAUCUACCCUUCUCUACGGGAUAGCUCCGGGAAACUGGAAUUAAUACCGUAUACGUCCUGAGGGAGAAAGAUUUAUCGGGGAAGGAUGAGCCCGCGUUGGAUUAGCUAGUUGGUGGGGUAAAGGCCUACCAAGGCGACGAUCCAUAGCUGGUCUAAGAGGAUGAUCAGCCACAUUGGGACUGAGACACGGCCCAAACCCCUACGGGAGGCAGCAGGGGGGAAUAUUGGACAAGGGGCGAAAGCCUGAUCCAGCCAUGCCGGGUGAGUGAUGAAGGCCCUAGGGUUGUAAAGCUUUUUCAGUGGGGACGAUAAUGACGGUACCCACAGAAGAAGCCCCGGCUAAUUUCGU